UUCAACUGGAAGUAUGUACGGCCAGCGUGGGCAUUUGAUCAUUUAUCUUUUUAGCAUUUUAUCAUUUUGGAAGAUCUGAUACUAUGAUAUUAUGACAUGACUGGUUUAGGAUAAAUACUUCAUGGAAUGUAUUUUUGGUUUCAUGGUAGCAAUGGUAAAAGAGUGUGUUUCUGUUUAUCAAUAAUUUAUAAACUAUUGGGUUUUCCUAAAAGAUGAAAA
rnacentral:misc_RNA from 1 species